CGAACCGUGCGAACGUUAUUCGGAAUCACUGGGCUUAAAGCGCGUGUAGGCGGCCUGGAGCGUCAGCAGCUGAAAUCCCCCGGCUCAACCGGGGAACGGGCUCUGAAACGUCCAGGCUGGAGGGGGUAGGGGGAGCCGGAACUCACGGUGGAGCGGUGAAAUGCGUUGAGAUCGUGAGGAACGCCCGUGGCGAAAGCGGGCUCCUGGACCCCACCUGACGCUGAGACGCGAAAGCCAGGGGAGCGAACGGGAUU
rnacentral:rRNA from 1 species